AGAGUUUGAUCAUGGCUCAGAUUGAACGCUGGCGGCGUGCCUAACACAUGCAAGUCGAGCGGUAACAGGUGUAGCAAUACAUGCUGACGAGCGGCGAACGGGUGAGUAAUGCUUUGGAAUCUUCCCAGUAGUGGGGAAUAACCAGUCGAAAGAUUGGCUAAUACCGCAUACGUCUGUAAAGGGAAAGCGGGGGCUCGUAAGACCUCGCGCUAUUGGAUGAGCCAAAGUCGGAUUAGCUAGUUGGUGGGGUAAUGGCCUACCAAGGCGACAAUCCGUAGCUGGUCUGAGAGGACGACCAGCCACACCGGAACUGAGACACGGUCCGGACUCCUACGGGAGGCAGCAGUGGGGAAUAUUGGACAAUGGGGGAAACCCUGAUCCAGCGACGCCGCGUGUGUGAAGAAGGCCUGCGGGUUGUAAAGCACUUUUAGUGGGGACAAAAAGCUACGGACUAAUACUCUGUGGUCUUGAUUUAACCCAAAGAAAAAGCACCGGCUAACUCUGUGCCAGCAGCCGCGGUAAUACAGAGGGUGCGAGCGUUAAUCGGAAUUACUGGGCGUAAAGCGCGCGUAGACGGUUUUGUAAGUCAGAUGUGAAAUCCCUGGGCUCAACCUGGGAACUGCAUUUGAAACUGCAUGGCUAGAGUAUCGAAGAGGGAAGUGGAAUUUCCGGUGUAGCGGUGAAAUGCGUAGAUAUCGGAAGGAACACCAGUGGCGAAAGCGACUUCCUGGUCGAAUACUGACGUUCAUGUGCGAAAGCGUGGGGAGCAAACAGGAUUAGAUACCCUAGUAGUCC
rnacentral:rRNA from 1 species